UACGUAGGGGGCAAGCGUUGUCCGGAAUCAUUGGGCGUAAAGCGCGUGUAGGCGGCUCGGUAAGUCUGCUGUGAAAGUCCAGGGCUCAACCCUGGGAUGCCGGUGGAUACUGUCGAGCUCGAGUCCGGAAGAGGCGAGUGGAAUUCCUGGUGUAGCGGUGAAAUGCGCAGAUAUCAGGAGGAACACCAAUGGCGAAGGCAGCUCGCUGGGACGUGACUGACGCUGAGGCACGAAAGCGUGGGGAGCGAACAGG
rnacentral:rRNA from 1 species